rnacentral:rRNA from 1 species
AUGCCUGCGCCGAGACCGCAGCAGCAGCUCCUCGCGGCGGCGUGGAGCCUCGGCCUGCUCUGCCUCGCCGCCGCGGAAGGUGGAGGCGGCUCCUGCGAGCUCUCGGUCGAGCGCGGUGGCGCGCUCUACAACUUCAGCCUCGCGGCGCCGACGCCGGCCCACCGCCACGGCGUCCUCAGCGAGGAUGGGUUUUACAAAGUGGCCAUGAACGAUUCAGUCAUCUGGUUCCAGCUCUGCGAUCAGAUGAUAUUCAACUUUGACCCACCUGUCUGUCUUCACUGUGAGGACUGUGGUGGUCCAUUGCGGUGUGGCACCCAAUGCAGCGCACUUGCGUCAAAUAACAUUGGAGGGUAUGAUGUUUGUACAACCAUUGGAAGGGCAUCUGGAUCCCAUAUAUCUCUAAUAGCAGAUGACGGUAAUCCCCAAAAGGGUGUCAUUUUCAAGAUGUUUUCAUCAAAGUGUUCUAUUUCUGUUUUCAUCUUCUGUGAUUCAGCUGUAGCCCAACUACCAGAUAAAUUUACCCAAUCUGGAAGUUGUGAUUACGUUACGAUACUUAGACACCCUUCUGGGUGUGCAAGAUCAGUGUCUGAUGCUGGAAAUGGCUGGGGAUGGUUAGGCACUUCGUUCAUAACAAUUUUGUGCCUUCUUGGAGGGUACAUUCUGAUUGGUGCAAUCUAUAGAUAUUAUUUCCUCGGCAUUCAUUCUGUAGAGGCCAUUCCGAACCUGGAAUUUUGGAUCAGUUUGCCACAGAGAAUUAAGAGCAUGUUUGUUCGUUCAAGAAGAAACCCAAGAAGUCAGAGCAGAGACACUAGAGGACCAUACACCACUGUAAACCACUGA